CAGGAAAGCCGGGUAAUCGCUUCGUACAUUCAUUGUAUGGGGAGGAAAGUCCGGACACCAACAAGUACCGCGCUCCCCGAUUCGGUUCAGCCGGCGAAGGGGAGGCUUGGUAAGAGGAAUCUUGCCAUGACAGACAGUGCAACAGAAAACAAACAGCCUCCAGCGCUCCGCGUUGGCGGUGAUGGUGAAAAGGUGAGGUAAGAGCUCACCGCUCCAAGGGCGACUGAGGAGGCACGGCAAACCUCGCGGGGUGCAAGUUCAUGCAGAUGGUAUGCGCCGCUUGUCGCCACGCCAUCGGGUGGAACGCGACAGACAAAUGAUUACCCUCGACAAAAUCCGGCUUACAGGCUUUCCUGUUUG
rnacentral:RNase_P_RNA from 1 species